UUUUCCCACGAGAGAAAAAUUAUGUGUUGACCCCAGUGUGCGUCAUAAACAGUAUCAGCUGGCCUUCCAUGGUGGAAAAUGAUGAAGACAACGAUGACGAAUGCUCUUUGGAGGAUAAGAGCCGGAUUGCUGGCUACCUUCGUCAAUUCAUUGAAAGUGCCUCCAGUCAUGAGCUGAAGGCCCUCGUUAAGUUCUGGGUCGGUUGGGAGGUUCCCACUACUUCCCUCAAACUGGAAGUAACCAACUGUAAGCUACCUAAGGCAUCCACAUGCUUUGAGACCCUACGGCUU